UACAGAGGUCUCAAGCGUUGUUCGGAUUCAUUGGGCGUAAAGGGUGCGUAGGCGGCGCGGUAAGUCGGGUGUGAAAGUCACAGGCUCAACCUGUGAAUGCCGCUGGAAACUGUCUGGCUAGAGUCCGGAAGGGGCGAGUGGAAUUCCUGGUGUAGCGGUGAAAUGCGCAGAUAUCAGGAAGAACACCAACGGCGAAGGCAGCUCGCUAGGACGGUACUGACGCUGAGACGCGAAAGCGUGGGGAGCGAACAGG
rnacentral:rRNA from 1 species